GUUUAUGUAGCUUAAUAUUUCCAAAGCAAGACACUGAAAAUGCCUAGACGGGUCUAUGAACCCCAUAAACA
rnacentral:tRNA from 1 species